rnacentral:rRNA from 1 species
UACAGAGGUCUCGAGCGUUAGGCGGAAUCACUGGGCUUAAAGCGUGUGUAGGCGGAUUGGUAAGUACCUUGUGAAAUCCCACGGCUCACCCGUGGAACUGCUUGGUAUACUGGUUGUCUUGAGCCUUCUAGGGGCGAGUGGAACAAAUGGUGGAGCGGUGAAAUGCGUAGAUAUCAUUUGGAACGCCAAUGGUGAAAACAACUCGCUGGGGAAGUGCUGACGCUGAGACACGAAAGCCAGGGGAGCGAACGGG